rnacentral:rRNA from 1 species
CCUACGGGUGGCAGCAGUGGGGAAUAUUGGACAAUGGGCGAAAGCCUGAUCCAGCCAUGCCGCGUGUGUGAAGAAGGCCUUCGGGUUGUAAAGCACUUUCUGUGGGGAAGAAAGCCUUGGGGCUAAUACCCUCGAGGAAGGACAUCACCCACAGAAGAAGCACCGGCUAACUCCGUGCCAGCAGCCGCGGUAAUACGGAGGGUGCGAGCGUUAAUCGGAAUUACUGGGCGUAAAGCGCGCGUAGGCGGUCUGAUAAGCCGGUUGUGAAAGCCCCGGGCUCAACCUGGGAACGGCAUCCGGAACUGUCAGGCUAGAGUGCAGGAGAGGAAGGUAGAAUUCCCGGUGUAGCGGUGAAAUGCGUAGAGAUCGGGAGGAAUACCAGUGGCGAAGGCGGCCUUCUGGACUGACACUGACGCUGAGGUGCGAAAGCGUGGGUAGCAAACAGGAUUAGCUACCCCUGUAGUC